rnacentral:rRNA from 1 species
GACGAACGCUGGCGGCGUGCCUAAUACAUGCAAGUUGAGCGAUGAAGAUUGGUGCUUGCACCAAUUUGAAGAGCAGCGAACGGGUGAGUAACGCGUGGGGAAUCUGCCUUUGAGCGGGGACAACAUUUGGAAACGAAUGCUAAUACCGCAUAACAACUUUAAACAUAAGUUUUAAGUUUGAAAGAUGCAAUUGCAUCACUCAAAGAUGAUCCCGCGUUGUAUUAGCUAGUUGGUGAGGUAAAGGCUCACCAAGGCGAUGAUACAUAGCCGACCUGAGAGGGAGGUCGGCCAACAUGGGAAUGAGACACGGCCCAAGCUCCUACGGGAGGGAGCAGGAGGGAAACUUUGGCAAUGGGCGAAAGGCUGGCCGAGCAACGCCGCGGGAGGGAAGAAGGGUGUCGGAUCGUAAAACUCUGUUGGUAGAGAAGAACGUUGGUGAGAGUGGAAAGCUCAUGAAGUGACGGUAACUACCCAGAAAGGGACGGCUAACUACGUG